rnacentral:rRNA from 1 species
CUGCACGGCUAGAGUGUGUCAGAGGGGGGUAGAAUUCCACGUGUAGCAGUGAAAUGCGUAGAGAUGUGGAGGAAUACCCGAUGGCGAAGGCAGCCCCCUGGGAUAACACUGACGCUCAUGCACGAAAGCGUGGGGGGCAAACAGGAUUAGAUACCCUGGUAGUCCACGCCCUAAAACGAUGUCUACUAGUUGUCGGGUCUUAAUUGACUUGGUAACGCAGCUAACGCGUGAAGUAGACCGCCUGGGGAGUACGGUCGCAAGAUUAAAACUCAAAGGAAUUGACGGGGACCCGCACAAGCGGUGGAUGAUGUGGAUUAAUUCGAUGCAACGCGAAAAACCUUACCUACCCUUGACAUGGCUGGAAUCCUUGAGAGAUCAGGGAGUGCUUGAAAGAGAACCAGUACACAGGUGCUGCAUGGCUGUCGUCAGCUCGUG